GACAACUUUAUAUGUUAGAAGGAGCCAUGGUUCCCACUUGUCAUAUACAGAACAGCAGGCCCAAUGUCUGAAAGCAAUGCUGUAUUUGACAGGACAGGAAUCAUUAGGGCUCACCUUUAAAGAAACCAUGCUGCAGAUAUCUAUAAUACUUUACCUAAAGCAUACAAAAUGUAUUUUAUAUGGUUACUUUUGUGCAGAGGCAACUGGGAACAUCAUGACAUGGCAUAGUAUGCAAUAUUAAUGAGAUAUUCUUCUAUAUCAGCACAGAGCAUCACACCUGUGCAUUGCCUACAGAAACAAAGGAUCUGCAAAGACUUUGAAAAGAAAACCAGUGCAUGAAGGUAUUGGGUGAUGUGGGUUUAAUGCCAUUAAAAAGGAAGCUUAAUUUAUAAUCACACAGAUUUUACUGCCAAAAUUUUCCUGCGCCCAGCUGAGCCAGCAUUUACCUGAAGCUAUCCUGAUCCAUACAGCCGGAGGGCAGCGGAGCUCUCUUUAUAUUCAUUAUCAUUGUUGUGUAUGGAGCUGCACAACAUUUCAGGGUCAGUGGUGGUUUUUCCAAAAUGCAGCAUGUAGUAAUCCCCAAUCCAUGGAAUAAAGUCGUCCAACCGCUGGGAUCUUCCUCAAUCCCCAUGAAGUAAUGAAGUAAAAAUGCAGCAAAGUACAGCCCCCUUAAUGCACCUGAGAGCCCCCACUGCCCCUUAUUGUUCCCCACUAUAUUUUCUACGUGACCCCACUCAGCACUGAUGCACUCUUACAACCCCCAGUGUCACCUUAAUGCCCCUACUAACGAAAUGUAGUGUUGCCUCCUUAUAUUACCCAUCACUCAGUAAUAGUGCUACUCAUAUGUCCCUCACUUAGAAAUGGUCACUCCUUGUGUCUUUGGGCUUAUAAUCUUUAGGAUGCUGGGAUGGGAUCCUGCGCAGAGAUCCUGUCCUGUUGUCUCAUAGGCUGUAGGCCUAAAGGACAGUCACAUGGAAAUCUGGGACACUAUUUCAAAAACCUGA